rnacentral:rRNA from 1 species
ACGGGUGAGUAAUACAUCGGAACGUGCCCAAUCGUGGGGGAUAACGCAGCGAAAGCUGUGCUAAUACCGCAUACGAUCUACGGAUGAAAGCAGGGGAUCGCAAGACCUUGCGCGAAUGGAGCGGCCGAUGGCAGAUUAGGUAGUUGGUGAGGUAAAGGCUCACCAAGCCUUCGAUCUGUAGCUGGUCUGAGAGGACGACCAGCCACACUGGGACUGAGACACGGCCCAGACUCCUACGGGAGGCAGCAGUGGGGAAUUUUGGACAAUGGGCGAAAGCCUGAUCCAGCCAUGCCGCGUGCAGGAUGAAGGCCUUCGGGUUGUAAACUGCUUUUGUACGGAACGAAACGGUCUUUCCUAAUAAAGAAGGCUAAUGACGGUACCGUAAGAAUAAGCACCGGCUAACUACGUGCCAGCAGCCGCGGUAAUACGUAGGGUGCAAGCGUUAAUCGGAAUUACUGGGCGUAAAGCGUGCGCAGGCGGUGAUGUAAGACAGUUGUGAAAUCCCCGGGCUCAACCUGGGAACUGCAUCUGUGACUGCAUCGCUGGAGUACGGCAGAGGGGGAUGGAAUUCCGCGUGUAGCAGU